rnacentral:tRNA from 1 species
GGCACUAUGGCGGAGUGGUUAACGCGCUGCCCUGCUAAGGCAGUUCCCUCGGGAGCAAGAGUUCGAAUCUCUUUGGUGUCG